rnacentral:piRNA from 1 species
UNGGAGCUAACUGGAAACGGUGUCAUGC